rnacentral:tRNA from 1 species
GGGCCCGUGGUCUAGUGGUUAUGACGUCGCCUUCACACGGCGAAGUUCGCCUGUUCGAAUCAGGCCGGGCCCA